CCUACGGGAGGCAGCAGUAGGGAAUAUUGCUCAAUGGGGGAAACCCUGAAGCAGCAACGCCGCGUGGAGGAUGAAGGUUUUCGGAUUGUAAACUCCUUUUGUUAGAGAAGAUAAUGACGGUAUCUAACGAAUAAGCACCGGCUCACUCCGUGCCAGCAGCCGCGGUAAUACGGAGGGUGCAAGCGUUACUCGGAAUCACUGGGCGUAAAGAGCGCGUAGGCGGGAUAGCAAGUCAGAUGUGAAAUCCUAUGGCUUAACCAUAGAACUGCAUUUGAAACUGUUAUUCUAGAGUAUGGGAGAGGUAGGUGGAAUUCUUGGUGUAGCGGUAAAAUGCGUAGAGAUCAAGAGGAAUACUCAUUGCGAAGGCGACCUGCUAGAACAUAACUGACGCUGAUGCGCGAAAGCGUGGGGAGCAAACAGGAUUAGAUACCCCAGUAGUC
rnacentral:rRNA from 1 species